AGACCAGCUCAGAGUACGGAGAGCUGGAGGCACAGUGGCUGCAGCUCCAGCCUCAGAGCCUGCGCCUCCAAGUGGCCAGGGCGGCAUUGGGAGGGAGGCGGAGGGAGGAGGGGGGCGGGAGGCGAGAGGCAGGAGGGGAACUGGGUCCAGGUUUUGCCAGCAGCCCUCCUGGCAGCCAUUCAGAGCUCCUGCCCCUGCUGGCGCGGCAGCAGAAGCGGCGGGAGCGGCUGCGGCGGCAGAGGGGGGCGCGGCGGUGGCAGAGGCGCGCCGGCAGAGGCGCACAGGGCGGUGGCGGCAGAGGGAGGCGCGGCGGCCGAGCCGUUAGAGGCGGCGGCUGUGUCUGAGCCGUUAGCGGUAGCGGCAGCGGCUGAGCCGGUAGAGGCGGGGGCCAUGGCGGUGGAGCCGUUAGAGGCGGCCGCGGCGGCCGAGCCGGUAGAGCCGGCGGCGGCGGCCGCGGCGGCCGCAGCGGUGACGUUAGCGAGCACAGGAUCCGGAGCUGGAGCCCAGCAAGAACCUGCGGCAGGUCCUUGUUCCCCUAAGCCAGGCCCCGCUUCCCAGCCGUGCCCAGCCCGCGCCGGCUGCCUGCUGAGUCUGGGAGCCUCACGCUGUGCCCUCCUCCAGCCGCGCCAGGCUUCCCUGCGGUGAUGAGGGGCACCGCGAACGGUGCGGUUGGAGCAGAGCGCGCAGCGGAGGCUGCGCCCAGAGAGGAGCUCACUUCUCCGCCCCACCGGGAGGCAGCGGCUGGGACGACUCUGAGAGCCGGUAGGUGUUGGGCCAUGGCCCUCCCCCGACCCCGCUGGAGGCCGGUUCCCUCCCCUUCCCUUCCUACCUACCUCUCCUCCCUCCGGGCCUGGUGGGUGGCCAGGGCCGGAGUUCGCUGCAAGUCGGCAGAACGUUUGGCGGCGCAGGCUCCCCAGAAGUUCAGGUGCAGAGAACCAGGGAUGGGAAAGGAGGAGUCUGGGUUUGGGUGGGGCAGGGGGCACGGCGAGUUCCGGGGAUCACUCGGUGGCCUCUGCUGUACUUCAGUUUCCCCAAGCUGCAGUCAGCUAGGUGGCAGAUCACUGAGUUGAGACCAAAAGAGGGGUUUUAGGGUUGGGGACGGCAGCUUGGGCGCCAUGGCUUGGGGCUGGGGCUCUGCCUGCGGGCUACUGUCCUCUCCCCAGGUCCUGGAGCCUCUUAAUUUUUUUUAAUGAGGAGCUGCUGGCUUGUAAAAUCAUAUUCCUCUCUCUCCAAAGAAGAAUUGUGUUUGUAACAUGGUUUGAAGCAAGUAAGGGGUAUAGUUAUUGAAAAAUUUAAAAACUGGUUAUAACAUGCAUAUUUAGAUAGUAACACACCAUUUAGGAAGAUUGAACUCAUGUAGUGCAGAUAUUCAAUUACCAUGAAGCAGUAGUAGAACCCCAGUUCCUCACUUAAUUACAGGAUUUAAUUCUGAAUUCCAGGCACCAUGACUUUGAGAAGAAGCUUCCAUUUCUAUAGCAUGUAAGGUUCAACUCUACAAGUUUUCCCAGUGAUAUUUCUUGAGAUUUACUCUACCUUUUAGGAUCCUUUUUACCUUAUUUCAAAGAAAGAAGGAAUAGUUACCUGGAGAAAAUAUAAAGAUACUGCAAAAUGACACUCAUUAGCCAGUGGCUUACAGUGUGAUUGUCAUAGGCCUUCCUUCACAUUUAAAUACUGAACAUUCUUUGCUUCUUCCUUUGAUGAUGAACAUAUACCAAAUUUGCAUUUUGAGGGAGCCAUGUUAUAUUACUCUGGUAAUAAAAGAAAUUUACCUUGAUAUGAAAUACUUCUU
rnacentral:lncRNA from 1 species